GUCAAAGAAAAAAUAUUCCGAGUAGCCAAUAAGAAAGAAUUCAAGUACCAAGGAGCCACAGUCAGGAUCAUACACAAUUUAGAAGCCAAAAGGAGUGGAGAACAUGGAAAACAUGACAUUCCAGAAGGCAAAGGAAAUGGACUUAUAAUAAAUUGUCAAGAAUAACUUACCUGAAAACUGAGUAUAAUACUACAAGGGAAAAUGGAUCUUUAAUGGAAUAGAGAACUUUGAAGCAUUCCUGAUGGAAAGAACAGAACUGCCAAGAAAUUUUGAAAGUUAAACCCAAGAAUGAAGAGAAAUUAAAAGGACCAAUGACAUUAAGAUGGUGAUGUAAUGAGCAGGAUUCCGGAGGAAUGCAGAAUGAGACAUAUAUGUAUGUGUAUGUACACAUGAAUGUAUAUACAUACACACAUAUAUACAUGUGUGUUUUAGAACAUGGACAAUGGGGAAAUUUGGUAUGAUUGACUAUACAUGUUUGUAAUGGUUUUUUGUUUUUCUUGUCUUUUUAAUGGGAGUAGGGGCAGGGAGGGGGUUGGAGCAGGAGGGUGAAAAAGUAGAUUUUGGUAGAUUAAAACGAAACAUUUAUUGUAUAUGUGCACAUGUAUAUACAUACACACAUAUAUCUAUGAAAUCUUGAGAACUCUGAUCAACACAAUACCCAAUCAUAAUUUCAGAGGGUUCAUGAUGAAACAUGCUGCCCACCUCCUGACAAGAGACGUGAUGAAUUCAGAGUGUAGAUUGAGACUUUUUUUUAAGAUACAACCAAUGAGAAAUUGUACUUUGCUUGACUAGACAUGUUUGUAACAGGGUUUUUGUUUAUCUUGCUUUAUCAGUGGUAGGGUGGGGGCAGGCUAACUAGGAAAGAGAGAAGGUUGGUCUUUGUUUGAAAAUAAAAUAAAAUUCAUGUUGAUUUUUUUAAAAAAGAACUAAACUAGG